CCUUAACAUACUCGAAAACUCUUGAAAAUUGGCACACACAUUGGAACCUGCGGCCAUUAGGACGCCGCAGAGGCUGGGACCCGGGCGUGGCACAGGGGCUCUACGGCGCCCCCUGGAACACAGUCAGAAAUCUUGAACCAUAGCUCACACAUACUUGCAUGUAUUUAUAUGAAACUCUGUACACUUAUAGAUCUCAUUGAGCCGAACAACUUUCGCGCUCUAUAGGCUCUACGGCGCCCCCUGGAACACAGUCAGAAAUCUUGAACCAUAGCUCACACAUACUUGCAUGUAUU
ensembl:lncRNA